ACGGCUCAGUAACACGUGGACAACCUGCCCUUAGGUUGGGUAUAAACCCGGGAAACUGGGUAUAAUACCCGAUAGGUCUCGAUUGCUGGAAUGCAUCGAGAUUUAAAGCUCCGGCGCCUAAGGAUGAGUCUGCGGCCUAUCAGGUAGUAGUGGGUGUAGCGUACCUACUAGCCUACGACGGGUACGGGUUGUGAGAGCAAGAGCCCGGAGAUGGAUUCUGAGACACGAAUCCAGGCCCUACGGGGUGCAGCAGGCGCGAAAACUUUACAAUGCUGGCAACAGCGAUAAGGGAACCUCGAGUGCCAGGUUACAAAUCUGGCUGUCGAGAUGCCUAAAAAGCAUUUCAUAGCAAGGGCCGGGCAAGACCGGUGCCAGCCGCCGCGGUAACACCGGCGGCUCGAGUGGUAACCGUUAUUAUUGGGUCUAAAGGGUCUGUAGCCGGCCGGAUAAGUCUCUUGAGAAAUCUGGCAGCUUAACUGUCAGGCUUUCAGGAGAUACUGUCUGGCUCGAGGCCGGGAGAGGUGAGAGGUACUUCAGGGGUAGGGGUGAAAUCUUGUAAUCCUUGAAGGACCACCAGUGGCGAAGGCGUCUCACCAGAACGGACCUGACGGCAAGGGACGAAAGCUAGAGGCACGAACCGGAUUAGAUACCCGGGUAGUCCUAGCCGUAAACGAUACUCGCUAGGUGUCGGCCACGGUGCGACCGUUGUCGGUGCCGUAGGGAAGCCGUGAAGCGAGCCACCUGGGAAGUACGGCCGCAAGGCUGAAACUUAAAGGAAUUGGCGGGGGAGCAC
rnacentral:rRNA from 1 species